rnacentral:tRNA from 1 species
GGAGGGGUGGCAGAGCGGUCGAAUGCGGCGGUCUUGAAAAUCGCUGGCCGGGGUCCACCCGGCCCGGGGGUUCGAAUCCCUCCCCCUCCG